rnacentral:rRNA from 1 species
UACGGAGGGGGCUAGCGUUGUUCGGAAUUACUGGGCGUAAAGCGCACGUAGGCGGCUUUGUAAGUCAGAGGUGAAAGCCCGGAGCUUAACUCCGGAAUUGCCUUUGAGACUGCAUCGCUUGAAUCCGGGAGAGGUGAGUGGAAUUCCGAGUGUAGAGGUGAAAUUCGUAGAUAUUCGGAGGAACACCAGUGGCGAAGGCGACUUCCUGGCCUGUUCUUGACGCUGAGGCGCGAAAGCUGGGGGAGCAAACGGG